AUACGGAGGGUCCGAGCGUUAUCCGGAAUCAUUGGGUUUAAAGGGUCCGUAGGCGGGAAUCUAAGUCAGUGGUGAAAUCUUGCAGCUCAACUGUAAAAUUGCCAUUGAUACUGGAUUUCUUGAAUUAGUGUGAAGUGAUUAGAAUGUGUAGUGUAGCGGUGAAAUGCAUAGAUAUUACACAGAAUACCAAUUGCGAAGGCAGAUCACUAACACUAUAUUGACGCUGAGGGACGAAAGCGUGGGGAGCGAACAGGAUUAGAUACCCUGGUAGUCC
rnacentral:rRNA from 1 species